AAAUAGCUCAGUUGGGAGAGCGUUAGACUGAAGAUCUAAAGGUCCCUGGUUCGAUCCCGGGUUUCGGCAGACCUUUUGUUGGCUCAACCCCUUUGAACAGACAGGGCUACGGUCCACUUCUUAGCCUCUCUGGAGGCUCGCCUCUCUCCCCAGUACCCUUGCACGUUUGCACCUACGCCAUACACACCCAGAGACGGCUGUUCUCCUUGUCUCUUAGGCGGGCAGAAACUAAUGAGACGAAGUAUUUAGUAAGGUAUUAUAAGGAUGCAAAGAAUAAGCUCGAGAAAUCAGAAGUCAAAGUCAUUAUGAGGAUGCAUGAUGAACUUAAGCCUCUCAAAGGAAUCAGAAGUCGUAGAAUGAUUUCUUCCCAGUUCCGUAAUCACCCUAUUUAUACUACUGGAUGUUAAAUGGCAAUACGUGGCACAAGAUUUGUUAUUGAGGUGGCCAACACGCCUGUUCCACAGGCGGAAGGU
rnacentral:tRNA from 1 species